UAGCAAUUUCCACUUCUUUGGACGACCGUAGCAUAUGAACGAUGUUUCUACAGGAAUGUUAAGUCCACGUAUGCAUUCUGUGCGAAAGAGAUUAUAAUGGAUACAACAAGUACGUGUACAAGAAGUACAUAGGCGGAAUCUUCAUCCAAGAUUCUCGACACAUCAUAGUAGUACUACAUCAUGCAAUUCACAUGUUCAUCAAGCAAAUCAACAUACGUGUAAUAAUAGAAAUCCUAAUCUUGCAAAUAAUCGUUGCAAUGGUUCGAAAAAUAUGAUAUUUGGAGAAAAUUAUUUUCUUUCUCCAAUUUUACCAUCACUACAAUAACCUACUAUUUAUCUUCAUCCAGAAACUAGGAGGCCACCAAAUAUUAGUCCAUCGUGUUCAGCAAUCUGUGAUGGAAAAUUCUUUGAAUGGUGUAGAUAUGGAACCAAUACCACCAGUUAUGCUGCCUUCAAUGCUAAUUCAUCCUUAUAUACCUCAUAUGUAUCAUUAUUAUGGUCCUCAUCGAAGACCACUUGGUCCACAACUAUAUAGAUACUAUAUAUCAUAUUAAUUUGCAACAUCUUCAUUUG